GUCCAUCUGACGAGUUCCAAGUGUGACGAAACGCGCGUCCUGCAU
rnacentral:hammerhead_ribozyme from 1 species